ACUUGUGCUCUUCCGGUCUGGGAUGAAUCCCAGUGGCUGCGAAACUUUCGCAUGCGGAAGGGAACUUUCCUGGAACUUUGUGAGUUGCUGUCCCCUGCCCUGAAGCGCAGUGACACCCGCUUGCGAGCUGCACUGAGUGUACAGAAGCGAGUGGCCAUAGCCCUCUGGAAGCUUGCAACGCCAGACAGCUACCGGUCAGUCGCGAACCAGUUUGGGGUGGGCAAAUCUACCGUGGGGGUUGUUGUGAUGCAAGUAGCGAAGGCAAUCG